GCGGGAGUAGCUCAGUGGUAGAGCAUCAGCUUCCCAAGCUGAGGGUCGCGGGUUCGAUCCCCGUUUCCCGCUC
rnacentral:tRNA from 2 species